GCAUGGGUCAUUGAUAUAGUCGGUGGAUUCACACUAGGAAAUUUAUAUAUAUGCACAGAUAGCUAUCGUCUUCUGCAAAUUCCUUUCACCUGUAUCUCGAUUUUCAUAGAUUGGAAACAAACAGAAAUGGCCAAGUACUUCCUCCUUUUCUUGGUUGCCUCUCUACUUUUCAUGUCUGCAGCUGCCACCUCGAGCAUGACAGAAUCUGGCCAGCUUCCUCCGCUGAACUUGUGGAAUAGAAAGUUGUUGGCAUCUGAGCGAAAGUUGGAUGAUAAAGAGUGUAAAGGGCUAAGUGCAGAUGAAUGUCUUCAUACUGAUUACAUCUACACACAAGAGCGUGGCAAACCUUGAAUAGGUUACAUGUUGGGGGCUUUCUUCAGUCUUUCCCCUAUUGAAUAUAACUAGAAUAGAAGGAAAGAAAGCAAAAAGACUGGGGUGGUUCCUUUUUGUACAUCUUGUCUGCUGUAUUCUGCUGCUAUUUGCGCUUCCCGUAAUAUGGUAAAUGGGGAUCAGCUCGGAUCGAGUUGAUGAAUUUUGUGUGAAAUCUUUGCAUAUACUGAUCGAAACAGAGAAACUGAUCUGCUUGAAUAGUCAA